rnacentral:rRNA from 1 species
UGGGGGAUAUUGCACAAUGGGCGAAAGCCUGAUGCAGCGACGCCGCGUGGGGGAUGAAGGCCUUCGGGUUGUAAACUUCUUUUGCUCUGAACAAGGCAUGCUAAUGGGUGUGGUGAGUGUAGGGGUUGAUUAGCGCCGGCUAACUACGUGCCAGCAGCCGCGGUAAUACGUAGGGCGCGAGCGUUGUCCGGAAUUAUUGGGCGUAAAGGGCUUGUAGGUGGCUGGUUGCGUCUGUCGUGAAAGCUCAUGGCUUAACUGUGGGUUUGCGGUGGGUACGGGCUGGCUCGAGUGCAGUAGGGGAGGCUGGAAUUCCUGGUGUAGCGGUGGAAUGCGCAGAUAUCAGGAGGAAUACCGGUGGCGAAGGCGGGUCUCUGGGCUGUUACUGACACUGAGGAGCGAAAGCAUGGGGAGCGAACAGG